rnacentral:rRNA from 1 species
UCAAUGCUCGCAAGAGUGAACUAGCUAACUGAAAUCACUUGUGUGUCACUCGUGAUGUCGUAAGGGAAAAUAAUGAUACCACCUUACUAAUAGUGUCGUCUAAAACUGGUGCCAGAAGACUCGGUAAGGCCAGAGACGCAAACGUUAAUCAUCUUAAAAAGGCGUAAAGGGUUAGUAGGCAGCUCUGAAAACAGUUUAUUUUUAAUAUAGCGAAAAUAAUGUGAAUAGGAGAUUGAAUCUAAUAGAGGUUAUAAUAUGAGCAAUUCUUAGAGGAGGGAUGGAAUCUCUAGAACCUAGGAGGAGGGCUCAGUGCGAAAGCAACUUUCCGCUAAAGAUUGACGCUGAGGAACGAAGGUUGGGAUCGGAAAUAGGAUUAGAUACCCCGGUACUCCCUUCAGCGAACGAUGAAUGGUAGUCGUUAAUUUAUUAAAAAUUAGUGGCGAAGUUAACAUGAUAACCAUUCCGCCUUGUGAGUACGACUGCAAAGUUGAAAACAAAAAAAUNAGUCGG